CACGUAGGCGGAUAUUUAAGUCAGGGGUGAAAUCCCGGGGCUCAACCUCGGAAUUGCCUUUGAUACUGGGUGUCUUGAGUAUGGGAGAGGUGUGUGGAACUCCGAGUGUAGAGGUGAAAUUCGUAGAUAUUCGGAAGAACACCAGUGGCGAAGGCGACACACUGGCUCAUUACUGACGCUGAGGCUCGAAAGCGUGGGGAGCAAACA
rnacentral:rRNA from 1 species